rnacentral:lncRNA from 1 species
GUGUUAUUCGGUACCAAAGAAAAAUGGUAAGUAUAAAUUAUUUUGGCUCAAGUUUUGUAUUAAGGUUCAUCAAGAAGUAUUUUUUGGCUCAAAAUAAGUACUAAUGAUUGAUAAAUAGGGUUAGAUUUUUUGCUCCAGGUUAUACCAAACAAUGCCUUAGGUCUCCCCUAGGUAUCACAAUAUUCACAAAUUUAAUCAAUCAAGUAAUCACAUAUUUAACUAUUUAUCAUUCAUACUAGCAUGCUCGUUUCCCUAUAUUUUCUAUUUCA